AUUGAACGCUGGCGGUAUGCUUAACACACGCAAGUCGAACGGUAACAGGCCUUCGGGCGCUGACGAGUGGCGGACGGGUGAGUAACGCGUAGGAAUCUGCCUCAUAGUGGGGGACAACGUGGGGAAACUCACGCUAAUACCGCAUACGCCCUACGGGGGAAAGCGGGGGAUCUUCGGACCUCGCGCUAUGAGAUGAGCCUGCGUUAGAUUAGCUAGUUGGUAGGGUAAAGGCCUACCAAGGCGACGAUCUAUAGCUGGUCUGAGAGGACGAUCAGCCACACUGGGACGGAGACACGGCCAAGACUCCUACGGGAGGCAGCAGUGGGGAAUAUUGGACAAUGGGCGCAAGCCUGAUCCAGCAAUACCGCGUGUGUGAAGAAGGCCCUAGGGUUGUAAAGCACUUUCAAUAGGGAGGAAAACCUGUCGGUCAAUACCCGGCAGCUUGACAUUACCUAUACAAGAAGCACCGGCUAACUCCGUGCCAGCCGCCGCGGUAACAC
rnacentral:rRNA from 1 species